rnacentral:rRNA from 1 species
CCCUUAGAUGUCCUGGGCCGCACGCGCGCUACACUGAUGCAUGCAACGAGUUUAUAACCUUGGCCUGAAAGGUCUGGGUAAUCUUUUGAACGUGCAUCGUGAUAGGGAUAGAUUAUUGCAAUUGUUAAUCUUGAACGAGGAAUUCCUAGUAAAUGCGAGUCAUCAGCUCGCAUUGAUUACGUCCCUGCCCUUUGUACACACCGCCCGUCGCUCCUACCGAUUGGGUGUGCUGGUGAAAUGUUCGGAUCGGCCGUUUGUCGCGGUUUCCGCGGCUCGUGGCUGAGAAGUUCAUUAAACCCUCCCACCUAGAGGAAGGAGAAGUCGUAACA